UACGGAGGGUGCAAGCGUUAUCCGGAUUCACGGGGUUUAAAGGGUGCGUAGGCGGACACUUAAGUCCGUGGUGAAAUCUCUGGGCUUAACCCAGAAACUGCCAUGGAUACUAUUUGUCUUGAAUGUUGUGGAGGUUAGCGGAAUAUGUCAUGUAGCGGUGAAAUGCAUAGAUAUGACAUAGAACACCAAUUGCGAAGGCAGCUGGCUACACAAAUAUUGACGCUGAGGCACGAAAGCGUGGGGAUCAAACAGG
rnacentral:rRNA from 1 species